GACGUAGGGCGCGAGCGUUGUCCGGAUUUAUUGGGCGUAAAGAGCUCGUAGGCGGCUUGUCGCGUCGACCGUGAAAACUUGGGGCUCAACCCCAAGCCUGCGGUCGAUACGGGCAGGCUCGAGUUCGGUAGGGGAGACUGGAAUUCCUGGUGUAGCGGUGAAAUGCGCAGAUAUCAGGAGGAACACCAAUGGCGAAGGCAGCUUGCUGGGCUACUCCUGACACUGAGGUACGAAAGCGUGGGGAGCGAACAGG
rnacentral:rRNA from 1 species